rnacentral:rRNA from 1 species
UGGGGAAUUUUGCACAAUGGGCGCAAGCCUGAUGCAGCGACGCCGCGUGAGGGAUGAAGGCCUUCGGGUUGUAAACCUUUUUCGCUCAUGGUCAAGCCGCAGCUUCGGGUUGUGGUGAGGGUAGUGGGUAAAGAAGCGCCGGCUAACUACGUGCCAGCAGCCGCGGUAAUACGUAGGGCGCGAGCGUUGUCCGGAAUUAUUGGGCGUAAAGGGCUUGUAGGCGGUUGGCCGCGUCUGCCGUGAAAUCCUCUGGCUUAACUGGGGGCGUGCGGUGGGUACGGGUUGACUUGAGUGCGGUAGGGGAGACUGGAAUUCCUGGUGUAGCGGUGGAAUGCGCAGAUAUCAGGAGGAACACCGGUGGCGAAGGCGGGUCUCUGGGCCGUUACUGACGCUGAGGAGCGAAAGCGUGGGGAGCGAACAGG